UAGUGACUGCGGAGGGACAUUACAAGUGACCCCGGCUACGGCCGGGAUGUUCAUAACCCUUUGUUGUCCGACUCUGUUGCCUCCGGGGCGACCCUGCCUUCGGGCGGGGGCUCCGGGUGGACACUUCAAACUCUUGCGUAACUUUGCAGUCUGAGUAAACUUAAUUAAUAAAUUAAAACUUUUAACAACGGAUCUCUUGGUUCUGGCAUCGAUGAAGAACGCAGCGAAAUGCGAUAAGUAAUGUGAAUUGCAGAAUUCAGUGAAUCAUCGAAUCUUUGAACGCACAUUGCGCCCCCUGGUAUUCCGGGGGGCAUGCCUGUUCGAGCGUCAUUUCACCACUCAAGCCUCGCUUGGUAUUGGGCAACGCGGUCCGCCGCGUGCCUCAAAUCGUCCGGCUGGGUCUUCUGUCCCCUAAGCGUUGUGGAAACUAUUCGCUAAAGGGUGUUCGGGAGGCUACGCCGUAAAACAACCCCAUUUCUAAGGUUGACCUCGGAUCAGGUAGGGAUACCCGCUGAACUUAAGCAUAUCAAA
rnacentral:rRNA from 1 species